ACCAAUGCAGUAUCUGUAGGGAGGCAGAGGAGGCCUCAUGUCAGAAGAAAUCCGCAACCGCGUCAACAUCAACAUCAAGUUUCAUCAAUAAUUCCAGUGUUUUCAAACAAUUCAAACAAUCAAUCAAUACCAAUUCAACAACAACGUCAACAACAACCGCAACAAAGAACCAACUAUAACAACAACAACAACAAUAAUCAACAACAACAAAAC
rnacentral:lncRNA from 1 species